UGGGGAAUCUUGCACAAUGGGGGCAACCCUGAUGCAGCGACGCCGCGUGAGCGAUGAAGCCCUUCGGGGCGUAAAGCUCUUUCGACCGGAACGAUAAUGACGGUACCGGGAGAAGAAGCUGCGGCUAACUACGUGCCAGCAGCCGCGGUAAUACGUAGGCAGCAAGCGUUGUUCGGAGUUACUGGGCGUAAAGCGUGCGUAGGCGGUUUUCUAAGUUCGGUGUGAAGUCUCCCGGCUUAACUGGGAGGGUGCGCCGAAGACUGGGAAGCUGGAGUGUGGGAAAGGCAGGCGGAAUUCCUGGUGUAGCGGUGAAAUGCGUAGAUAUCAGGAGGAACACCGGCGGUGUAGACGGCUUGCUAGACCAUAACUGACGCUGAGGCACGAAAGCGUGGGUAGCAAACA
rnacentral:rRNA from 1 species